rnacentral:rRNA from 1 species
UACGAAGGGGGCUAGCGUUGUUCGGAUUUACUGGGCGUAAAGCGCGUGUAGGCGGGUCGUUAAGUUAGGGGUGAAAUCCCGGAGCUCAACUCCGGAACUGCCUCUAAAACUGGCGACCUGGAGCAGAGGAGAGGCGAGCGGAAUUCCGAGUGUAGAGGUGAAAUUCGUAGAUAUUCGGAGGAACACCAGUGGCGAAGGCGGCUCGCUGGACUCUUGCUGACGCUGAGACGCGAAAGCGUGGGGAGCAAACAGG